rnacentral:sRNA from 1 species
CAGGUUUCUUGUGUUCUGAUGUUCA